UGAGUCCACGAAUUCUGGAAG
rnacentral:piRNA from 1 species